rnacentral:rRNA from 1 species
GACGAACGCUGGCGGCGUGCUUAACACAUGCAAGUCGAACGAUGAAGCCCAGCUUGCUGGGUGGAUUAGUGGCGAACGGGUGAGUAACACGUGAGCAACGUGCCCGAGACUCUGGAAUAACUACCGUAAACGGUGGCUAAUACUGGAUAUGUGCAGGGAGGCAUCUCCUCUGGUUGGAAAGAUUUUUCGGUUUCGGAUCGGCUCACGGCCUAUCAGCUUGUUGGUGGGGUAUUGGCCUACCAAGGCGACGACGGGUAGCCGGCCUGAGAGGGUGACCGGCCACACUGGGACUGAGACACGGCCCAGACUCCUACGGGAGGCAGCAGUGGGGAAUAUUGCACAAUGGGCGCAAGCCUGAUGCAGCAACGCCGCGUGAGGGAUGACGGCCUUCGGGUUGUAAACCUCUUUUAGUAGGGAAGAAGCGCAAGUGACGGUACCUGCAGAAAAAGCACCGGCUAACUACGUG